ensembl:lncRNA cell wall protein DAN4-like
AAAUAGCUACUUACCUGAUGUCACAUAUAGUUAAACUUUUGGUUCUGUCAUACAGUAUUUCUACAGUUCAAUCUAGAGCAGAUGCAACUGCAGUGGACAUGGGACUUGUCUUCAACUCAUCUUCUACCACAGGAGAUCUCCCAUCAAAUGCUGUUGUCGCCCAAACAUUAGUAGACGCUGCAAAUAACACUACUAAUAAUUUCAGUGUGAGCAUAAACCCCUCUACAGUUACAGUUUUAUCCAGUCCAGUGUCUACACCUUUUACACCUGCAAAUGCAACUUUAACAACUGUAGCAUCUACAACAUCUACAACUCUACCAACUGCAUCUACAACAACAACAACUACAGCAGCUACAACAGUUGGCAUUUCAAUAAUACCAGUGACAUUCAAAUCUCGCUUGGACACAUUUACAAGUGACUUAAAUAAUCCAUUAUCUGCACGUUUUAUACAGCGAACUGCAACGAUAACAUCACAGCUUAAACCUCUUUUUAAAAAUGAUUUUCCGAGCUUCAUCGACAUUAUUGUUCUGAAAUACAGCAAUGGAUCAAUCUACAACUUCUUUGACCUGAUCUUUAAUAAGACAUCCGUUCCUAACAACACUCAGGUUGCGAGUGUUCUGAGCAACGCAUCUUCAUUUGUCACUGGCUUUGACAUUGAAGUCAGCUCCAUCAUUGUGAAUAACAUACCUUCAGGUGGAGUAGCACACAAGAUCAGCCUCGUCACUGCGUCCUGCCUCGUGCUCUUAUCAUUGCUACUGUCAAGCCACCAAUAGUCUGUACUGAACUCAGGUGGAUCAUAAUUAAAAGGAUAAUGAAAGUCACUGAAUCAAUAGAAUAUAGAAUAAAUAAAGUAACUAAAUAUUUAUUAAACCCUAG